CACGUAGGGCGCGAGCGUUGUCCGGAAUUAUUGGGCGUAAAGAGCUCGUAGGCGGCCUGUUGCGUCCGCUGUGAAAGCCCGGGGCUUAACCCCGGGUCUGCAGUGGAUACGGGCAGGCUAGAGGUAGGUAGGGGAGAAUGGAAUUCCCGGUGUAGCGGUGAAAUGCGCAGAUAUCGGGAGGAACACCGGUGGCGAAGGCGGUUCUCUGGGCCUUACCUGACACUGAGGCACGAAAGCCAAGGGAGCAAACAGG
rnacentral:rRNA from 1 species